rnacentral:misc_RNA from 1 species
UUGCCUUCUAUCCUGGAG